UUAAUGAAAUCGUUGUGGAUUCAUCAUCACUACUACGUAAUUACAAUUACUUUUUUCCUCAAUUAAUGAAAUUUUAACGAGUGUAAAAAGCGAAAACAACAAGAAAUUUAGCAAGCCUAAUGUGUUCAUUGACGAGUUUUGAUUAAUUUUAUCACGAUAUUAAUGAAUGUGCGUCUUAACAUCGCUCGGUAAAUUGGAUGAGUAUUGUUUUUCUUUGAAUUAGCCAUUUUGUAGGGUUUUUUAUCGAUAACCAUAGACAUUUUUCUGAUAAGGGACGCGUAGACACGCAAUUUUUUUUAAAGUAACGUAGUCUGCUUUAAAAAAAACAUUAGGUAUUUGGCUUCGAUUGAAUUUGUUUGUUACAUACAAGGUGGAAUACCUAUAGCUUCUUUUUGUGUUUGUGUUUUUAAAGAAAAGUUAAUACUGCGAAUAUGUUUUUCAACGUUAAAGUUUACGCUUUUGUGAUGGUGGUGCUUGCAGUUUUGGCUGGUGUUUCUGCUUCCCCAGCACCACAGAAUGGAAUGAAUCCAGUUUUUAAGGAUCCGUGCGUUAAAACUUGUGAAAUAGAUAUUUUCGGAAGAGAACCGUUUUGUGGCAGUGAUGGUCGGACUUAUCUCAACACUAGCUUUUUAGAUUGUUUUGAAAAAUGUCAAGUUGCAGUUACGAAGGCUUAUGAUGGACGUUGCAAUAACUGAAUUCAGCAUAACAAAAAUUGCGAAACCGGUUUCCUAAGAUAACUUUGUAGUCUAAUUUGUAUAUUCUAAAGGUUUUUUAUUUACAAAAUAAAAUUUGUUACAUUC